UACAGAGGGUGCGAGCGUUAAUCGGAAUUACUGGGCGUAAAGGGUGCGUAGGUGGUUUCGUAAGUUAGGUGUGAAAGUCCUGGGCUUAACCUGGGGAUUGCGCCUGAUACUGCGAAGCUAGAGUACUGUAGAGGAAAGUGGAAUUUCCGGUGUAGCGGUGAAAUGCGUAGAUAUCGGAAGGAACAUCGGUGGCGAAGGCGACUUUCUGGUCCGACACCGACGUUCAGGCACGAAAGCGUGGGGAGCAAACAGG
rnacentral:rRNA from 1 species